rnacentral:lncRNA from 1 species
GCAGCGGGGGUGGGAGCUGCGGACGGCCAUGUGCGCGGCGGAGAGGCCGGGUGGCCACCGAACCUUCCCGCCUGUUCUGCGGGGCGUCUGGGCAUGGCUUUCCCAACCUAGUAACUGCAACUUUUAGCAUCCUACAUGUAGGACUUGGGAAUAUGUGAGACAGCGCCAAGAAUUUAAUCCAGGAGAAUUGACAAGCUUAAAUGAAAUCCAUAUUGCCCACUGAUUUUGUGCAGCUUCAGAUAAGUAAUCUUUCUCCACUUAGCCUUUUGUAACAAUUGAUGUAAUAAAGGUUUGUAGUCUUUGUGUAAUUUAUUAAAGCAUUGUGCCUAAAAUAGAAAAAAAGCAUAGGAACCAUAGGCUGUGUUUUCUUUUGAUUUAAUAUUUUCAUUUCUUCAGUUAAUAGAAAUUUGCCAAAUUCUGAUGUUUUUCUGUAGCAUUAUUUGAAUGAGCAUUGUUUAUUUGAGUGAACAUUCAGCUAAUUGUUACAGAAUCGUUGCCCCCAUUAAUCUUAGGCUGUAGAAUGUAGACAAGUAAAUAGGCAUCAUCAGUAUGAUGAGAGUGAAGCUACUUAAUACUGUGGAAUCAAAUAAAGGAGGAACCCCUUACUAAACCAAGAGGGAGGAAUAAAAUGGAAUGGGACUAGAGAAGCAAUUAGCUUUAAUAAGGGUAUUAUGGAAGACUUUCUAGAUGAGAAGCAGUAAGUACAGAUGUUUGGAGGCAAACACUAGAGAGAUUGUUGGGUAAAGAAGACAAUGCUGGAGGUCUACUUGUGAAGGCCUUGAAUGCUAUGUGCAGAAGUCAGCUUCUGAGAACCAGGAAGAAGAUAUUGAAAGAUUUUAAGUAGAAGAAUCAUAGGAUUGAAUUCAUUUUAGACAGAUCACUGUUACACAAAAAUUUGAGGCAAACAGAAGAGUUUGGAGUAAACAGUAGGCUGUGAGCCAGUAAUGACUUGGACUGAGUUGGUAGCAGGUAGGUGUGAAGAAAAUAAAGUGGUUAUUGGGAGAUUUGGUUAACUGAAAAUGACUGAGGGAGAUAGAUGUCAGGUGACUCCCAAGUGAGUUGGUGGAGCAGCUAGGAGGAUAGUAAUGUCUUCACUGAGAUUAGAAACAAAAUAAGAGAA